rnacentral:rRNA from 1 species
UACGGAGGGUGCAAGCGUUAUCCGGAUUUCCUGGGUUUAAAGGGUGCGUAGGUGGGUCUGUAAGUCAGUGGUGAAAUCUCCGGGCUUAACCCGGAAACUGCCAUUGAUACUAUAGGUCUUGAAUAUCCUGGAGGUGAGCGGAAUAUGUCAUGUAGCGGUGAAAUGCUUAGAUAUGACAUAGAACCCCAAUUGCGAAGGCAGCUCACUACGGGAUUAUUGACACUGAGGCACGAAAGCGUGGGGAUCAAACAGG